rnacentral:rRNA from 1 species
GACGAACGCUGGCGGCGUGCCUAAUACAUGCAAGUCGAGCGAAGUUUUUCUGGUGCUUGCACUAGAAAAACUUAGCGGCGAACGGGUGAGUAACACGUAAAGAACCUGCCUCAUAGACUGGGACAACUAUUGGAAACGAUAGCUAAUACCGGAUAACAGUAUUUCUCGCAUGAGAGAUAUUUAAAAGUUGGUUAUGCUAACACUAUGUGAUGGCUUUGCGGUGCAUUAGCUAGUUGGUGGGGUAAAGGCCCACCAAGGCGACGAUGCAUAGCCGACCUGAGAGGGUGAUCGGCCUCACUGGGACUGAGACACGGCCCAGACUCCUACGGGAGGCAGCAGUAGGGAAUCUUCCGCAAUGGGCGAAAGCCUGACGGAGCAACGCCGCGUGAGUGAAGAAGGAUUUCGGUUCGUAAAGCUCUGUUGUUAGGGAAGAAUGGAUAUGUAGUAACUAUACAUGUAAGAGACGGUACCUAACCAGAAAGCCACGGCUAACUACGUG